rnacentral:rRNA from 1 species
CAGCAGCCGCGGUAAUACGAAGGGUGCAAGCGUUACUCGGAAUUACUGGGCGUAAAGCGUGCGUAGGUGGUGGUUUAAGUCCGUUGUGAAAGCCCUGGGCUCAACCUGGGAAUUGCAGUGGAUACUGGAUCACUAGAGUGUGGUAGAGGAUAGUGGAAUUUCCGGUGUAGCAGUGAAAUGCGUAGAGAUCGGAAGGAACAUCUGUGGCGAAGGCGACUAUCUGGGCCAACACUGACACUGAGGCACGAAAGUGUGGGGAGCAAACAGGAUUAGAUACCCGUGUAGUCCUGUCUCUUAUACA